AAAGUGAGCCGGGCAAUCGCAAGUGAUCAUUGGGAUCGCUUGAGGAAAGUCCGGGCACCACAGGGCAGGAUGCCAGCUAACGGCUGGUCAGCGCGAGCUGAAGGAUAGUGCCACAGAAACAUAGACCGCCGAUGGACGCACAGGACAACGUCGGCAUUAGCACGUCCUGUGCGUCACAGGCAAGGGUGGAAGCGUGAGGUAAGAGCUCACGAGGUCGACUGGCAACUUUCGACCUGGUAAACCCCAUCCGGUGCAAGACCAAAUAGGGAUGAGUUGACCAUUGUGUCAACCGCUUUGGCCCGAAGCGUCCCGUGGUUGGUCGCUUGAGCUAUACAGCGAUGUAUAGCCUAGAUAGAUGAUUGCCACUCCAUGGUGUGGGAGGCGCAAGCCGCAAAACCACCGGGAGGACAGAACCCGGCUUACAGGCUCACUUUCAUC
rnacentral:RNase_P_RNA from 1 species